UACGUAGGUGGCUAGCGUUGUCCGGAUUUACUGGGCGUAAAGAGCGCGCAGGCGGUCGUUCAAGUCGAGUGUGGAAAGCCCCCCGGCUCAACUGGGGAGGGUCACUCGAUACUGAUCGACUCGAAGGCAGGAGAGGGAAGCGGAAUUCCCGGUGUAGUGGUGAAAUGCGUAGAUAUCGGGAGGAACACCAGUGGCGAAGGCGGCUUCUGGCCUGUUCUUGACGCUG
rnacentral:rRNA from 1 species